CGAGUUGGCCGGGCGGCCGCGGUCGAUGGGAAACCAUCGAUCGAGGAAAGUCCGGGCUCCACAGGGCAAGGUGGUGGGUAACGCCCACCCGGGGUGACCCGCGGGACAGUGCCACAGAAAACAGACCGCCGUCCGGUCCGCCGGACGGUAAGGGUGAAACGGUGGUGUAAGAGACCACCAGCGCUACAGGCGACUGCAGCGGCUUGGUAAACCCCACCUGGAGCAAGGUCAAGAGGCGUCGGUUUCGGUCGGCGCUGCGCAGGCGUUCGAGGACGGCCCGUCCGAGCCUGCGGGUAGACCGCAUGAGGUCGUCGGUAACGGCGGCCCCAGAUGGAUGGUCGCCCCGUGUGCCGCAAGGUAAACGGACAGAACCCGGCUUACAGGCCAACUCGCUCG
rnacentral:RNase_P_RNA from 1 species